rnacentral:rRNA from 1 species
GACGAACGCUGGCGGCGUGCUUAACACAUGCAAGUCGAACGGAAAGGCCCUGCUUUUGUGGGGUGCUCGAGUGGCGAACGGGUGAGUAACACGUGAGUAACCUGCCCUUGACUUUGGGAUAACUUCAGGAAACUGGGGCUAAUACCGGAUAGGAGCUCUUGCUGCAGGGUGGGGGUUGGAAAGUUUCGGCGGUUGGGGAUGGACUCGCGGCUUAUCAGCUUGUUGGUGGGGUAGUGGCUUACCAAGGCUUUGACGGGUAGCCGGCCUGAGAGGGUGACCGGCCACAUUGGGACUGAGAUACGGCCCAGACUCCUACGGGAGGCAGCAGUGGGGAAUAUUGCACAAUGGGCGGAAGCCUGAUGCAGCAACGCCGCGUGCGGGAUGACGGCCUUCGGGUUGUAAACCGCUUUCGCCUGUGACGAAGCGUGAGUGACGGUAAUGGGUAAAGAAGCACCGGCUAACUACGUG